UACAGAGGUCUCAAGCGUUGUUCGGAUUCAUUGGGCGUAAAGGGUGCGUAGGCGGCGCGGUAAGUCGGGUGUGAAAGUCGGGGGCUCAACCCUCGAAAGCCGGUGGAUACUGUCGGGCUCGAGUGCGGAAGAGGCGAGUGGAAUUCCUGGUGUAGCGGUGAAAUGCGCAGAUAUCAGGAGGAACACCGAUUGCGAAGGCAGCUCGCUGGGACGUUACUGACGCUGAGGAGCGAAAGCGUGGGGAGCGAACAGG
rnacentral:rRNA from 1 species